UACGGAGGGUGCAAGCGUUAUCCGGAUUCACUGGGUUUAAAGGGUGCGUAGGUGGGCAGGUAAGUCAGUGGUGAAAUCUCCGAGCUUAACUCGGAAACUGCCGUUGAUACUAUUUGUCUUGAAUAUUGUGGAGGUAAGCGGAAUAUGUCAUGUAGCGGUGAAAUGCAUAGAUAUGUCACAGAACACCAAUUGCGAAGGCAGCUUGCUAUGGUAUAAUUGACGCUGAGGCACGAAAGCGUGGGGAUCAAACAGG
rnacentral:rRNA from 1 species